UGCUCAGAUUGAACGCUGGCGGCAGGCCUAACACAUGCAAGUCGAGCGGUAGCACAGAGAGCUUGCUCUCGGGUGACGAGCGGCGGACGGGUGAGUAAUGUCUGGGAAACUGCCUGAUGGAGGGGGAUAACUACUGGAAACGGUAGCUAAUACCGCAUAACGUCGCAAGACCAAAGUGGGGGACCUUCGGGCCUCAUGCCAUCAGAUGUGCCCAGAUGGGAUUAGCURGUAGGUGGGGUAACGGCUCACCUAGGCGACGAUCCCUAGCUGGUCUGAGAGGAUGACCAGCCACACUGGAACUGAGACACGGUCCAGACUCCUACGGGAGGCAGCAGUGGGGAAUAUUGCACAAUGGGCGCAAGCCUGAUGCAGCCAUGCCGCGUGUGUGAAGAAGGCCUUCGGGUUGUAAAGCACUUUCAGCGGGGAGGAAGGCGRURAGGUUAAUAACCUYRUCGAUUGACGUUACCCGCAGAAGAAGCACCGGCUAACUCCGUGCCAGCAGCCGCGGUAAUACGGAGGGUGCAAGCGUUAAUCGGAAUUACUGGGCGUAAAGCGCACGCAGGCGGUCUGUCAAGUCGGAUGUGAAAUCCCCGGGCUCAACCUGGGAACUGCAUUCGAAACUGGCAGGCUAGAGUCUUGUAGAGGGGGGUAGAAUUCCAGGUGUAGCGGUGAAAUGCGUAGAGAUCUGGAGGAAUACCGGUGGCGAAGGCGGCCCCCUGGACAAAGACUGACGCUCAGGUCGAAAU
rnacentral:rRNA from 1 species